UACGUAGGUGGCAAGCGUUGUCCGGAAUUGUUGGGCGUAAAGCGCGCGCAGGCGGUCUUUUAAGUCUGAUGUGAAAGCCCACGGCUCAACCGUGGAGGGUCAUUGGAAACUGAGAGACUUGAGUGCAGAAGAGAAGAGUGGAAUUCCACGUGUAGCGGUGAAAUGCGUAGAGAUGUGGAGGAACACCAGUGGCGAAGGCGACUCUUUGGUCUGUAACUGACGCUGAGGCGCGAAAGCGUGGGGAGCAAACAGG
rnacentral:rRNA from 1 species